rnacentral:rRNA from 1 species
GACGAACGCUGGCGGCGUGCCUAACACAUGCAAGUCGAGCGAAUGAAGUUCCUUCGGGAACGGAUUUAGCGGCGGACGGGUGAGUAACACGUGGGCAACCUGCCUCAUAGAGGGGAAUAGCCUUCCGAAAGGGAGAUUAAUACCGCAUAAGAUUGUAGUAGCGCAUGGUACAGCAAUUAAAGGAGCAAUCCGCUAUGAGAUGGGCCCGCGGCGCAUUAGCUAGUUGGUGAGGUAACGGCUCACCAAGGCGACGAUGCGUAGCCGACCUGAGGGGGGGAUCGGCCACAUUGGGACUGAGACACGGCCCAGACUCCUACGGGAGGCAGCAGUGGGGAAUAUUGCACAAUGGGGGAAACCCUGAUGCAGCAACGCCGCGUGAGUGAUGACGGCCUUCGGGUUGUAAAGCUCUGUCUUCAGGGACGAUAAUGACGGUACCUGAGGAGGAAGCCACGGCUAACUACGUGCCAGCCGCCGCCGUAA